UAAAUACCGGCACGAGACCGAUAGCGAACAAGUACCGUGAGGGAAAGGUGAAAAGUACUUUGAAAAGAGAGUCAAAAAGACCGCGAAACCGUUAGGAGGGAAACGAAUGCAGCUGAAGCGGCUCCCCGUCAGGCUCAGGAGGAGGCGCGUGGGUUCCCGGGGUGCGGGCGGAGGCCUGAAGAGGCUCCGGUUCGUCUUCGGGUGCGGGCCCGCCGUCCACUCUGCACUUCUGCGGGGAGCCGGCCAACGGCAGUUGCCCCCGGCUCUUACGAGGCGCUUCGGGGGAGGUGGCCCUGCGCUCCGGCGCGGGGAGCGUACAGCCCCGGCGCCCGGCAGUCCGGG
rnacentral:rRNA from 1 species